rnacentral:rRNA from 1 species
CCUACGGGGGACAGCAGUGGGGAAUAUUGCACAAUGGGGGAAACCCUGAUGCAGCGACGCCGCGUGAGUGAAGAAGUAUUUCGGUACGUAAAGCUCUAUCAGCAGGGAAGAAAAUGACGGUACCUGACUAAGAAGCCCCGGCUAACUACGUGCCAGCAGCCGCGGUAAUACGUAGGGGGCAAGCGUUAUCCGGAUUUACUGGGUGUAAAGGGAGCGUAGACGGCAGCGCAAGUCUGGAGUGAAAUCCCAUGGCUUAACCAUGGAACUGCUUUGGAAACUGUGCAGCUAGAGUGCAGGAGAGGUAAGCGGAAUUCCUAGUGUAGCGGUGAAAUGCGUAGAUAUUAGGAGGAACACCUGUGGCGAAGGCGGCUUACUGGACUGUAACUGACGUUGAGGCUCGAAAGCGUGGGGAGCAAACAGGAUUAGAUAACCCUGUAGUC